CAUGAGGAGGAGUCCCUCAGCCCUGAUUGCAAGAGGGCGCAGGCCAGGCUGAGGGAUCCCACUGGUGCAUG
rnacentral:pre_miRNA from 1 species